AAUGCUUCUGCUACGAGUGAGCUGAAUGAUGCAGAAACCAGCACUGUGUCUACUGGUACAACGUUACCUAGAACAUGUUUUAAAUCCUGAAAUGACUGAAGAUACCACUUUAAUUGCGUAUAUGCAUAUAGACAAUUGUCUAUAUGUAUACAUAGUGUGACCUCCUCACAGGGCUUCAACUGUGCACAACUGUCACUACAGCUAUUUACCACUCUGCCCAGAUUACCGCAACGCUUUGAUCUGUCAUUGAAGGUGAAUCCUGUCACAAGUGAUUGGUGACUAUGAUGAUGUAGAUUCAGUAGCACUGCAACGCUCAUUCCAGUCAUCUACAGAAGUUCUGCAAAACCAACUUGUUCGUCAUGCUGUUGUUUCUCACUAUCCCCAUUUCUUCACAUUAUUUGGUGUUUGAGUUACUUACAAAAUCCACACUUCCUACAGGGAUAAAAUCAAAGCAUCUGUAUGAAAGCAAGGAAGAGUACCUCUUUCAAGUAAAAUAAACAAG